rnacentral:lncRNA from 12 species
GAAAUAAACAUCUGAAUCUGCAGGUGCUUGUGCAAAUUAAAGCUGCUCUCCCCUUCUCAGGUUAAAGAUUUAGCUGAGGUCAUGCAGGACCUCUCCUAUUGUUUAAAGCUGCUGGUGCAUAAGCUCAUAGUUGUGUUAAGCAGCUAUUGGCAGGGACACAAAGUGUCCACAGCCAUCUCUCCCAACAUCUAGCGUUUGAAAAGAUGGAUUCUCUGCAGGCACUGCCUGAGCUUGUUACUUGCUCUGUACCUCCCCAGCCAGUGCAAGGACACAGAUCAGGGUUUGCAGGAAAGGUUAUUUACUCAAGGCCGGCUGGGGGUAGGACUUCACCUGGAGCCAGCUGGCCUCAGCCAAGGUGGGAUUGAUGGUGCCUGCAUGUUGGUGGAUGUUUACAUGUGCACUUCCCAGAUCAACCACACCUUUCCAGAAGCAUUCCUGUUGGAAUAAAGCCCUAAGGCAGACUCUGUGCCACGCAGGUGGGAGCAGACAGCAGCAGCCAAAUGGCAGUCUUGCUUUGCAGUGCCAGCACAGAUGUCACUCACCACUGGCAGCUCACACUGAGCCCUGCAGCCUGAGGAGCCCAGUCUUCAGACACAGAAGGCAGCUCUGAAUCCAUCCAGCUAUUCAUUGUAAUAAAGCUUUGAAUGUGAUAAAGCUUCAUUUCUUGACCUGGGAGCACUUCAGAUGGUGAAAAGGACAGCAGACAUGCAGACAUCACUCAUGGCUCAAGCCCCCUCUCUGUCCCUGGAGGCUGUAGCAGCAGGGCAUCUCACUGCUCUUGAGCAGGUUUUUGUUCCACCUGGGAGCAGAAGUCGGUUCCAUGCAACCACCAAAGCACCCAUGGGACCAGGUGGUUAGGAUGCAGCAGCCUGGCUCCUGCACCCACCUAGUUCCAACCACCAGUCUUCAGUCUGCAGCUUUUUAAAGGCAGACAGGAGUAAAAUAGAUUUAGAAAUAAGUUUUAAUUUUUUUACCCUGUUCCUUGUUGCUGCUCACUGCACAUUUGCACAAACAUGGGCUUGAGGGGGUCUGGGCCCACAAAGACCCUCUGGCCUCACUUGUGUGCCUGUUUUUGGGUGACACGUGGCAAAACCCAGCUUGUAAGUGUUCCAGGGCACCUUCCCUGACCUCUGCCAGGUGCCACAGGGCUCUCCUGCAGCUGUGGCUGGGGACUCUGCUGUGUGCUGACAAUGCAUUCACACUUCUGUAGGGUCAUUCACUCUUUCUGGGUAUUUGAAAUCAUGAAGAACACUAUUUAUUGAUUAUUAUCUUUUAACAGCAGGCAGCAGGUGGGAGUGAGAGAGGGGUCUGGACUCUGCUCUCCUCCUCCAGCACCCCACAUCAGGUGCCCCAUGGAGACCUCUCCUACAGCAGGGAGCCAAGGAUAAGGGGAACUGGAGCUUACUUCUGUCAGGAACUGUUUGCAGGCUCAGAUUGACAUAGCAAGGCAAACAGCAAACGCUCCCAGACCACAUAAAUAAGCCGUCACUUUGAGUAUGUAACUGAAAAGCAAGCAGAUUGGAAAAUUAUCUAAAAAUAGUGGAGCAAAGAUUAGCUGCACAAGCAUCAGCUCAGAAGCAUCAGGACACUCCUGGGCUUAUUCAAAUCACAAGUUCUUAAAGGAGGAUUGCAAAGAUGUUGGAAGUACACAGACAGCUCUACACAUUACUUGGGUUUGCCUGAACUCCAGGAGAGCUCGACGUUCCUGGCGGGGCACAGCAGCUACCUGGGAAGUCUUAGCAUUUUUAAUGAGGGUUAUGAAGAAUUUUAUUAUCAUGGAAAGGAAUAUAAUAAUUUUCUCAAUAAAAAAGCUCCUUAGUCAGUAACAACUGCCUAGUGCUUGGAGGCAAUUCAGCCGUCUUUAGCUGUCGUUUCAGAAGACAUAUGGCAAGAACAAGAUCAAAUUCAUAUUGCCUUUCAUAUCAGGAAAAUUUCCCAUUAAUAAUAGGUUUCUCUUUAUAAUGUGUGUCUUGGAGUAAAAUAAUUUGAGCUGUGUGGGGUUUUAUGAGACACUCUAGAGGGAGAAGUCUGCAGAAAUUUCUGACCAGCUCCUCUCUUUACCUUCCUCACUUCAGACCUCAUUAAGAAUUCCACAGUCUUCCAGUUCAUUUCAUUUGCACUGGCAUUUUC